CCACACAGUAAACUAUGUACACUAGGUGCUGGGGUAACACUCAGUGCCGUCGCAAACGCAGUAAGUGUACCGCCUGGGGAGUAUGCCCGCAAGGGUGAAACUCAAAGGAAUUGACGGGGGCCCACACAAGCGGUGGAGCAUGUGGUUUAAUUCGAUGAUACGCGAGGAACCUUACCUGGGUUUGACAUCAAGAGUAAUACUGUAGAGAUACAGUAGCGUAGCAAUACGACUUUUGACAGGUGCUGCAUGGCUGU
rnacentral:rRNA from 1 species